ensembl:snoRNA
GCUGAGACUAGAGUCACAUGCUGACACAGAACAUGUCCUGGUGUGCUACAGAUCUCAGAGAGAAUUUGCUGGUCUUGAUUCACUAGUGGGGAGGAAGGGUAGUCAGUGUCUUCAUUAGUGCCCAGAUCAGAAACAUAC